rnacentral:misc_RNA from 1 species
UUUUUUGUCUGCUUCAUGCGCCCGUCUUGGAUCCUUGACAGUUAAUGCCAUGAAGAGACACUUUCUAUUGUACAGUGCUGUCCUUGCAACUGCUUUAUCCCUUGGGUAUGCGGCGCGACAGAAACCCAGAGGGCACCUGCAGUAUUUUGGAUCGCACCAACCAGCCGAGGGGGAGGUUGAAACACUCGACAAGUUUCCGACUUCUGAGGACUUCUACGAAAUAUAUGUGGCUCCAAGAAUUCCAGUCAAAUUCCGCCAAGUUCUCACUCCCCAAAAUAUGCCAGCGUAUGGUCUUUGGACAGACGCAUAUUUAAACACUACUUUUGCCCGAGAAAUUAUGUACGCCGAAUAUGGGAAGAAAGAGGAUAUGGACAACUCGUACCGUUAUUACAGAAUGGAGGACUUUAUAUACGACUACAAUUUCAAAGAUAUCUACAUGUUUCAAGAUGUUCCAAAAAGCAUGCAAGGAAACGUUAGCAUUCCGUUUUGUUUGCGGUGUACGUUUGAGCGCGUGCUCCAGCGCGUGAUUCUGUGGAUGAGCAGCGGUGGCAUUCAGACUGUUCUCCACAAGGACGUCUUUGACAGCUUCUAUUGUUUACUGGAUGGGACCAAGGACUUUUAUCUAGUUGACAGUAGCCAGUCUGGAUUGGUGGAGAAGCGACAUUGGAACAAGGCCGGGGCGUACAGUGAAGUGGAUGUGGAGCAGGUGGACAUGUUCCGGUUCCCAGAGUUCCAAAGUCUCCCGUGGUGGAAGUCCAGUCUAAAACCCGGUGACUGCAUCUACGUGCCCAAAGAGUGGUACCACCACACAAGGAGCGGGAACCACAGAACGCUGGCCAUCAGUUACCGCUUCCUCCACCCACCCUACUUCAAUGUGUCGGGCUGUCCUCGGGUUCAGAGUAUAGACAGAGUUCGAAACUUGUCAUCAGUUACACUUCUAACCAAGCUGGAGACGGCCAGGAUGAACAUGCUUCAGAAGUUUGCGGGCCAGGACGAAGUGCUGGCGUCAGAUAUUGAAACACUGAUCAAAGCUAAUCCACGUCAGGACGGGGACUAUGUCAGGGUGGUUUUUCAGGCUGGUGGACAGGAACCGAGACCGAGUCCUGAGCUGGGAAGAACUGUACAGCUUUGACAUGAAAACCGCUAUGAAAGUCGCAAAUUCGCUGUUUGGCGCGGAGAGACGCGUGAAGGAGAAACCCAGUUAUAAAGUCCAACUCAGUUUCGCCAGUCCCAAGAUAGAGAAAAUGUACCAGCAAAUGCACGGACACAUUCACGACGAGCUGUAGCAGACACUUACAUGUAACGUGUAAUAUUGGGUCUAAUUCUCUCAUGCUGAACCACUAUGCUAACGCAGAACAAAACAGAGCGUCUGUGAAAAAGAUGUUGACAUGACACGUUUGCCAUUCUUCCUUAUUCAUUUUCUUGUAAUUUUUUGGGAUAUAAUAACGGAAUAAAUCACGACUUUGCUAAAUGUAAUAAUUAAUAAAGAACAGUGUGAAUACUUUAGUACAUAUCGCUGAUAUUGUAGAAAACGUUGGUUUUAUUUUACUACUUAAUUGUAUGAAAAAUAUUUUAUGGGGAAUCAACCAAUAACGUAAUACUUGUAUAACUAUGUCUAACUAUGUAAGGUGUCAGAAAAAAUGUAAAUGUUAGUACAUGUAUAUGUAGACUCUUUAGAAAUAUCCACGAUGCCAUAGGCUAGCUUUCUAAUGACUCGUGUCUUGUAUAUGUGCAUUAUAUAUUUUCUGUUGUGCGACAUCAAUACAAGUUAUGUCUCUUUGAAAAAUCAAAUUCCCUUGAAAAUGCAUAUAUUAACAUAGCAGGCACUGUAGACAAAUGUACGUUGUCUAAGAAAUAUCUAAACAAAUUAU